CAGUCGCCACGGGAAUACAGAGGGUGCAAGCGUUAAUCGGAGUUACUGGGCGUAAAGCGCGCGUAGGUGGUUUGUUAAGUUGGAUGUGAAAUCCCCGGGCUCAACCUGGGAACUGCAUCCAAAACUGGCAGGCUAGAGUAGGGCAGAGGGUGGUGGAAUUUCCUGUGUAGCGGUGAAAUGCGUAGAUAUAGGAAGGAACACCAGUGGCGAAGGCGACCACCUGGGCUCAUACUGACACUGAGGUGCGAAAGCGUGGGGAGCAAACAGGAUUAGAUACCCCAGUAGUCCCUGUCUCUUAUAC
rnacentral:rRNA from 1 species